UGGGCUUAUGCUAUAAAAUAAAAAUACUACUCCCUACAAAGAGGAUAUGCAUCUUUUAAAUAUUGUAUACACUGACAAUGAUUUAUAUGGUGGUGGUGUAUUAUAGCAGUUAUUGUUAAGUAGUUAGCUUUAUAUUACAAUUUUAUUCUGUAGCCACAUGAUUGCCAUGGAAAGUGUUCACCUGACUCUAUAGAUUAUAAAUAUACAGUACAUUUUUUUUAGCGUAAUAGCAAAAGUAGUAAUUUUUAGCAGUUCUACCUAGAAGCAUUUCAAACAAUA